UGGGGAAUUUUGGACAAUGGGCGAAAGCCUGAUCCAGCAAUGCCGCGUGUGUGAAGAAGGCCUUCGGGUUGUAAAGCACUUUUGUCCGGAAAGAAAUCCUUGGCUCUAAUACAGUCGGGGGAUGACGGUACCGGAAGAAUAAGCACCGGCUAACUACGUGCCAGCAGCCGCGGUAAUACGUAGGGUGCAAGCGUUAAUCGGAAUUACUGGGCGUAAAGCGUGCGCAGGCGGUUUGCUAAGACCGAUGUGAAAUCCCCGGGCUCAACCUGGGAACUGCAUUGGUGACUGGCAGGCUAGAGUAUGGCAGAGGGGGGUAGAAUUCCACGUGUAGCAGUGAAAUGCGUAGAGAUGUGGAGGAAUACCGAUGGCGAAGGCAGCCCCCUGGGCCAAUACUGACGCUCAUGCACGAAAGCGUGGGGAGCAAACAGGAUUAGAUACCCCGGUAGUCCACGCCCUAAAACGAUGUCAACUAGUUGUUGGGGAUUCAUUUCCUUAGUAACGUAGCUAACGCGUGAAGUUGACCGCCUGGGGAGUACGGUCGCAAGAUUAAAACUUAAAUGAAUUGACGGGGUCAUAGCUGUUUCCU
rnacentral:rRNA from 1 species